UUUGUUAAAGAUUUAUUGGUUGCGGAUGGGCAUGCGUACCAUUAGGUAGUUGGUGAGGUAACGGCUCACCAAGCCAUCGAUGGUUAGGGGUUCUGAGAGGAAGGUCCCCCACACUGGUACUGAGACACGGACCAGACUCCUACGGGAGGCAGCAGUGAGGAAUAUUGGUCAAUGGGCGAGAGCCUGAACCAGCCAAGUCGCGUGAAGGAUGACUGCCCUAUGGGUUGUAAACUUCUUUUACAGGGGAAUAAAAUGAGAUACGUGUAUUUUAUUGCAUGUACCUUGUGAAUAAGCAUCGGCUAACUCCGUGCCAGCAGCCGCGGUAAUACGGAGGAUGCGAGCGUUAUCCGGAUUUAUUGGGUUUAAAGGGUGCGUAGGUGGGCUGUUAAGUCCGCGGUGAAAGUUUGUCGCUUAACGAUAAAAUUGCCGUUGAAACUGGUAGUCUUGAGUAUAGAUGAAGUAGGCGGAAUGCGUGGUGUAGCGGUGAAAUGCAUAGAGAUCACGCAGAACUCCGAUUGCGAAGGCAGCUUACUAAGGUAU
rnacentral:rRNA from 1 species